rnacentral:rRNA from 1 species
UACGAAGGGAGCUAGCGUUGUUCGGAAUCACUGGGCGUAAAGCGCACGUAGGCGGAUUUGUCAGUCGGGGGUGAAAUCCCGAGGCUCAACCUCGGAACUGCCUCCGAUACAGCAAAUCUCGAGCACGGAAGAGGUGAGUGGAAUUCCUAGUGUAGAGGUGAAAUUCGUAGAUAUUAGGAAGAACACCAGUGGCGAAGGCGGCUCACUGGUCCGGUACUGACGCUGAGGUGCGAAAGCGUGGGGAGCAAACAGG